GACAGAGGGUGCGAACGUUGCUCGGAAUGACUGGGCGUAAAGCGCGUGCAGGCGGCUCUGCAAGUCCGGUGUGAAAGCCCAGGGCUCAACCCUGGAAGUGCACUGGAAACUACGGAGCUUGAGUCCUGGAGAGGAGAGCGGAAUUCCCGGUGUAGAGGUGAAAUUCGUAGAGAUCAUGAGGAAGACCAGUGGCGAAGGCGGGUCUCUGGACAGUUCCUGACACUGAGACACGAAGGCCAGGGGAGCAAACGGG
rnacentral:rRNA from 1 species